GGGUUCGAUCCCUGGGUCGAGAAGAUCCCCUGGAGAAGGGCAUGGCAGUCCACUCUAGCCUGGAGAAGUCCAUAAACAGAGGAGCCUGGUAGGCUACAGUCCAUGGGGUCAGAGUUGGACACAGCUGAGUGACUAACACACGAGAGAGAAGGACAUUACAUCAUGGUCAAGGGAUCAAUCCAGCAAGAAGAAAUAACAACUGCAAGUGUGUACAUGCACCCAGCAUAGGAGCGCCUCACUGUAUUUUUCACCCUUUUGAUUGUGGUCAUUCUACUAGAUAUGAAGUGGUAUCUAACUGGGAUUUUGACUACCAUUUCCCGAAUGGUUAAUGAUAUUCACAUGUUUUUGUGUGCUUAUUGGCCAUUUGUAUGUUUUUGGGAAAAUGUCUAUUCAAAUCCUUUGCCCAUUUUUCAAGUGAGUCUUUUUAUUGUUGAGUUGUAAGAGGUUAUUUUAUACAUUAGGUAUACAAGUUACUUAAAGACAAAUGAUUGGCCUUUGAAAACCACAUGUUUUCUCCCAGCUUGUGGUUUAUCUUUUUAAUCCUGUCUUCUGGAGCACAUUGUUAAUUUUGAUGACUUCCAGUUUCUCUUCUUGGUGUAUCUAAAGGAAGCCUCUGCCUAUUCCAGGCUUGUGAAGUGUAUUCCUGUCUUCACCUGAGUGCUUCAUGGUUUCGCCUUGCGUAUGGGUCUGUGAUGCAUUUAAGUACUACCUAGUACCUAUAUUUUACUGUGGUGGGAUGUACAUGAUGGAAACCUCACCAUCUUGGUCUCCUUUUUUAGCGGUUUUAUUUCUUGUUGGCUGUCCAGGGCCUCUGUUGGUGCCGGGCUUGUCUCUAGUUGCGGCAAACACGGUCUGCUCUCUAGCUGUGGCACAGGGCUUCUCGUGGCCGUGGAUUUUCUUGUGGAGCACAGGGUCAGUAAGUGUGGUGCACUGGCUUAGGUUCCCGAGGCAGGUGGGGUCUUCCCUGACCAGGGAUCGAACUCGUGUCUCCUGCAUUGGCACUCGGAUUCCCCACCACUGAGCCACUAGGGAAGCCCUCAGGCAUGUUUUAGAUUCUAGCUUUUUACACACAUGUCUAGUGAG
ensembl:lncRNA